AAGAGGAGGAAGGAGAGAGGACUGGAGGUUGGCGGUGUGUUGUGAGAGCUGAAAGACCAGAGAACCGAAGCAUUCAAAUACCUUGUCCAAUGUCCACCAUAAAGUGCUAAUAAGGUGCAACAGAAUAAUCUGCAGAUGAAGGAGGCGUCAAAAGGCACUGGUUUGUGUAGAGAGAGGAAGAGGAGACAUCGGGGAGGAAGAAAUACUG